rnacentral:rRNA from 1 species
AAGAAAGUGAAUAAGGGCGCAUGGCGGAUGCCUUGGCUCAUGGAGGCGAUGAAGGACGUGAUAAGCUGCGAUAAGCCGCGGG